rnacentral:rRNA from 1 species
AUUGAACGCUGGCGGCAUGCUUUACACAUGCAAGUCGAGCGGCAGCGCGGGGGCAACCCUGGCGGCGAGUGGCGAACGGGUGAGUAAUGCAUCGGAACGUGUCCCGUAGUGGGGGAUAACGCCGCGAAAGCGGCGCUAAUACCGCAUAUGCUCUACGGAGGAAAGGGGGGGACCCGCAAGGGCCUCCCGCUAUGGGAGCGGCCGAUGUCCGAUUAGCUUGUUGGUGAGGUAAAGGCUUACCAAGGCGACGAUCGGUAGCUGGUCUGAGAGGAUGAUCAGCCACACUGGGACUGAGACACGGCCCAGACUCCUACGGGAGGCAGCAGUGGGGAAUUUUGGACAAUGGGGGCAACCCUGAUCCAGCCAUGCCGCGUGCGGGAAGAAGGCCUUCGGGUUGUAAACCGCUUUUGUCCGGGAAGAAAAGGCAUUCCCUAAUACGGGGUGCUCUUGACGGUACUGGAAGAAUAAGCACCGGCUAACUACGUGC